rnacentral:rRNA from 1 species
GAGUCCUACGGGAGGCAGCAGUGAGGAAUAUUGGUCAAUGGACGAAAGUCUGAACCAGCCAUGCCGCGUGCAGGAAGACGGCUCUAUGAGUUGUAAACUGCUUUUGUACAAGGGUAAACCUGAAUACGUGUAUUCAGCUGAAAGUACUGUACGAAUAAGUAUCGGCUAACUCCGUGCCAGCAGCCGCGGUAAUACGGAGGAUCCAAGCGUUAUCCGGAUUUAUUGGGUUUAAAGGGUGCGUAGGCGGAUUGAUAAGUUAGAGGUGAAAUGUCCGGGCUCAACUCGCGAACUGCCUCUAAUACUGU